UGUUCCUAAGAGAACUUCAAAUCUGGGCCAUUUAUUUCACUCUCUUUCCAUUUUCACUCUUUAAUCCUGGCCCUUCAUCUGUGAGACUUUUUUCCCCUCUAUUCUACUCAAGCUCCUGUAUGACGUCACAGAACGCGUUGAUGGAGUAUGGGAUGAAGGAGAGGAGUGUGUCCAUGGUUUGAUUUGGUGGGUUAUCGUCAUCCCUGCAGGCCCUGUCUCUGUAGCCUAUCACAUCAUCGUGUUAGGUUUUCCUCUCUUCUCCCUUUCAGCCGACGUCUGCACAACACAUGAGGAAGGAGGAGCAGAAGAGUUGAGUUGAGUUAGGUUGGAAUUUGAUGGAGAUUAGACAAUGGAGGAAGGAGAAAGCAAGGAGAAGGACAAGAGAUGAUGAUGGAAAGUACAAAAUUUUCAGAAUCAGAUUCAGAGGGAGAAGAGAAGAUGGUGGUUGUGAAUGGUUAGGUGAGGCAGCUCAGAUGACAGGAUAAAUCAUCCCGAUUUUGGAAGGAAGAGUGAAGAAGAGGGAAGAAGGUUGCUUGAGAAGGACUGCUGUCAGAUGAGGAUCAGUAGCAACAGAGAAGAUGAUGCUAUUCGGUCAUCGUUGUAUGACAUCAGGUAUAAGAAAGGAGGUUCAACUCAGAGAAGCAGCAAAGCAGAAUGUGGAUACUGAGGUACUGGAGAACUGGAAAGGCUGAAGCAACAGGGAAGAAUUUGAAGAGUAAAUCUUCCAAUUCAUCCUCUGAGCAAGACUUCGAUUCAUUUCUUCUUGGAGAUCUUGAAGACAAUGAUGGAGGUCCAGAAGAGACUCCACUACACUAUCUUUCUCCUUGUUCCUUCAUUUGUGCUUUGGUUCUAAGAUAACACUAGGACGUGUUUUUUUAGUUUUUUGCUCUUGGUGGUGGGGCUGUCACGUGAUGCUAUACACUAUGGGGUGUGGAUCAGAAGAAACAGAGAAGAUGAUGGACUCUUUCGUCAUUGAUUUCUGCCUUGUCCUCGUCAGAUCACAUCAGAUUGCUAUGUUUAUUUGAGCUUUGAGGCCGCAGAUAAGAUAAGAGGUUGCAACUGGUAAUAUUAUCCAAUUAAUGUUUGUUAGCUUUCAAUUUGCCCCACCAUGUAUCACUUGAUUGGUAUCACUUCCUGAUAUGUUGAACAUAGGUGCUACUGUUGAUGUCGAAUAAUCAAGAUGGGAGGUACUUGAGUAAUAUAGGCAGGAAGAAGGUGGAUCCAUAUGAGAUUAGUGACUUGUGGAGUUGGGCCUAUAGUGGAUAAUCUAUACGCACAAGGGUAACAUUUCCCUUGGAUCUUGUGAGGCGGCGGAAGCAGCUUGAAGGGGCUGGUGGGCGAGCCCGAGUGUGUAAUACAGGCAUGACAAAUUUCUUGGAGAUAAACCAAAGGGUGGAGAGAUUGGCUGAAUCAAGUGACUGCAGUGAGUACUGAAUGCAGUGAAUCCAGAUCCCAGAUGGAUGAGAUAAACUUUCUUUUAUCAAGACAUAUGUUCGUAAGCACCAUUGUCCAAGCUCUUUAUUUUUCAUAUGUUAAAAUCUGAAUCAUGUAUUAGACUAUUCCUUUUCUCAUCAACCGUGUGUGUAUUUUUACUGUGGAUGAGCCCUAUGUUUCAUCAGGUGCUGAUUCUUUAUCACACAUGAGGUUUUAGAUGGUGAAAUCUGCACAAUAAGAGAUGUUUAAACGGGUGAAUCAGUCAAAAUUUUGAUUAACCCUUUCUGCUCAUCUACAUUGUUUAAAUUUUCAUUGUUAAUGGCUUUUUAUUUUCUUUCUAAAAUUGCA